rnacentral:lncRNA from 1 species
UCAAAGAUGUGCACACACUGGAGCAGUCAUAUCUUCCUAUUUAGGCAGCAAGAUCUCAUGAAGACGCACUUGCCUCUUCUGCGUUCAGCAUUCAAAAUUCAAACGAAGGCUCCACCUAAAAAGGAAAGACUGGACAGAUUCACUUUCCCUUCUGCAUUCAAUGACUGCACUCCACUUCCUCUUCUGCAAUCCGCGCGCAUCCUUCCUCUUUUGAAGCCUGAUCCGCGCGCCUCCUUCCUUCUGGAGAAUUUGCAAUGCGAUUCUUUCCUUUUCAGCACUUUGGGCAGCCUCUUCACUAAUUAGGAAGCAAGUAUGACCUAGGGCAGCACUUUCAACUAUAAAAAGACACAUAAGGAGCCUCCAC